UACGAAGGGGGCUAGCGUUGUUCGGAAUCACUGGGCGUAAAGGGCGCGUAGGCGGCUGUUCAAGUCGGGGGUGAAAGCCUGUGGCUCAACCACAGAAUUGCCUUCGAUACUGGACGGCUCGAGACCGGAAGAGGUCAGUGGAACUGCGAGUGUAGAGGUGAAAUUCGUAGAUAUUCGCAAGAUCACCAGUGGCGAAGGCGGCUGACUGGUCCGGUUCUGACGCUGAGGCGCGAAAGCGUGGGGAGCAAACAGG
rnacentral:rRNA from 1 species